AAUAUUGGACAAUGGGCGCAAGCCUGAUCCAGCAAUGCCGCGUGAGUGAUGAAGGCCNNNGGGUUNUCAAGCUCUUUCGCACGNGACNAUGAUGACGGUAACGUGAGAAGAAGCCCCGGCUAACUUCGUUCCAGCAUCCGCGGUAAUACGAAGGGGGCUAGCGUUGUUCGGAAUUACUGGGCGUAAAGGGAGCGUGGGCGGCCUUGUCAGUCGGAAGUGAAAGCCCCGGGCUCAACCUGGGAAUUGCUUUCGAUACUGCAAGACUUGAGUUCCGGAGAGGAUGGUGGAAUUCCCAGUGUAGAGGUGAAAUUCGUAGAUAUUGGGAAGAACACCGGUGGCGAAGGCGGCCAUCUGGACGGACACUGACGCUGAGGCGCGAAAGCGUGGGGAGCAAACAGG
rnacentral:rRNA from 1 species